rnacentral:rRNA from 1 species
UGAACGCUGGCGGUAUGCUUAACACAUGCAAGUCGAACGGAAACGAUACUAGCUUGCUAGUAGGCGUCGAGUGGCGGACGGGUGAGUAACGCGUAGGAAUCUGCCUGAUAGUGGGGGAUAGCCCGAAGAAAUUCGGAUUAAUACCGCAUAAUCUAUUCGUAGUAAAGUGGGGGACUUUCGAGCCUCACGCUAUCAGAUGAGCCUGCGUAAGAUUAGCUUGUUGGUAGGGUAAAAGCCUACCAAGGCAACGAUCUUUAGCUGGUCUGAGAGGAUGAUCAGCCACAUCGGGACUGAGACACGGCCCGAACUCCUACGGGAGGCAGCAGUGGGGAAUAUUGGACAAUGGGGGCAACCCUGAUCCAGCAAUACCGCGUGUGUGAAGAAGGCCUGAGGGUUGUAAAGCACUUUCAAUUGUGAAGAAAAGUUAACGGUUAAUAACCGUUAGCCUUGACGUUAACUUUAGAAGAAGCACCGGCUAACUCCGUGCCAGCAGCCGCGGUAAUACGGAGGGUGCAAGCGUUAAUCGGAAUUACUGGGCGUAAAGCGUGCGUAGGCGGUUUAUUAAGUCAGAUGUGAAAGCCCCGGGCUUAACCUGGGAACUGCAUUUGAAACUGGUCAACUAGAGUAUGGUAGAGGAAAGUGGAAUUUCUGGUGUAGCGGUGAAAUGCGUAGAUAUCAGAAGGAACAUCAAUGGCGAAGGCAGCUUUCUGGACCAAUACUGACGCUGAGGUACGAAAGCGUGGGUAGCAAACAGGAUUAGAUACCCUGGUAGUCCACGCCGUAAACGAUGAUAACUAGCCGUUGGGGGGAUUUACCCUUUAGUGGCGAAGCUAACGCGUUAAGUUAUCCGCCUGGGGAGUACGGCCGCAAGGUUAAAACUCAAAGGAAUUGACGGGGACCCGCACAAGCGGUGGAGCAUGUGGUUUAAUUCGAUGCAACGCGAAGAACCUUACCUGGUCUUGACAUCCUGCGAACUUUCUAGAAAUAGAUUGGUGCCUUCGGGAACGCAGUGACAGGUGCUGCAUGGCUGUCGUCAGCUCGUGUCGUGAGAUGUUGGGUUAAGUCCCGUAACGAGCGCAACCCCUAUCCUUAUUUGCCAGCACGUCAUGGUGGGAACUAUAAGGAGACUGCCGGUGAUAAACCGGAGGAAGGCGGGGACGACGUCAAGUCAUCAUGGCCCUUACGACCAGGGCUACACACGUGCUACAAUGGGAAGGACAAAGAGCCGCGAAGCCGCGAGGUGUAGCUAAUCUCAGAAAUCUUUUCGUAGUCCGGAUUGGAGUCUGCAACUCGACUCCAUGAAGUCGGAAUCGCUAGUAAUCGUAGAUCAGAAUGCUACGGUGAAUACGUUCCCGGGUCUUGUACACACCGCCCGUCA